rnacentral:lncRNA from 1 species
AGCUCUAGGGUUCCGCCGCUGCUUCCGCCGUCAGUAGGCGGAGGUAGAGAAGAUACGUCACUUGUACGGCGGACGAAAGCUUUAACAUGGUGGCCGGAGUUGAAGAGCUCACGGCAGAGACGGCUGCCGAGGUAACCGGAAGCGCCGGUAACCAAUAUUACUUUCUUCUUCAUUUUCUGUGUAUUGCUUUACUUGUUUUUUUCGUCAACGAUGGAACCUGCCUAAUUUUAUACUUGAAUUUUAAGUGCUAGGCAGCUUAAUUAUGAAGGUGUUAAUAUAAUAUAAUAUUUUCUUUGUUUAGUUUUACUUGAUUGGCAAUUUUAGUACAUGAAUUUCAAGUGCUAGUAGCCCUUAAUUGCAGCUGUUAAUAAUAUAAUAUUCUCUUUUUUAAGGUUUACUUGAUUGACCAUUUUGAGUACAUGAAUUUUAUAAGUGCUAGGCCCUUAAUUAUGGAGGUGUUAAUAAUAUAAUAUUCUUUUUGUUUAAUUUUACUUGACUGACAUAACAUGGUGUAAUUAAUGAAGUUAUUGCAUCUGAUAAAUUAUAAGUUCUAAGUAUUAAAAAUAGCCUCUAAUAAAAAUAUAAGAUACGAUUGCAUACAAUAAAUUCCUUUGGUUGAAUCUCAUGCAUAGCGAGCGAAAAUUUUAAUACAAUAAACUAUUUUUUAAAAAAAAAAAAUCUCUAUUUUAUCUUAGUCACUUAAUACUAAAAUAAAACAGUAACAAUAUAAUAAAUAAAAUAAAAUUCUCUUCUAAAAAUAAUUUUUUUAUCUCCCGACGGAGAUAGUAAUACGACUUACAUACACAUUAUCCUUUUCAAAUAUUACCUGUGAAUUUCAUUGGGUUAUAUUAUCGUUCUUCCUGUGGCUCCUCAUUAUGCUCUUUGAAGUUGCAUAUUUCGAUCGAUCCAACAAGUCAAAAGUGAUGGAAAUUUGAGGAGAACGCACUUUCUUAUCAUCAAGCACGAUCUUCUUCUCAUUAGCCAAUUACAUGAUUUUAUUUGUGAAUAUGAAACUUUUCUCUAGAGGGUGACCAACAAACCUACUAUACUUGCAAUAGUUUGGGUCAUCAAUUUUUUGCUGUUCCAUCUCUGCUUCAAAGUUCAAACUUCAAACACAACAUCAACUUAACUCCAAUUCUAAAAAAUUACUCCAUUCAUUUUAUUUUAUGUGUUUUCAUCUUUUUUUUAUCCAUUCGUGUCAAAAAAAUACCCUCUCCAUCCCAAAUUAUGUGUUAUUAUUUUCUUUUUAGUUCGUCCUAAAAUAAGUGUCGUCUUUCCUUAUUAGGCAACUUUUCAAAGACACAAUUACCUUUUACCCUUAUUGGUCCCACUUAAUUAAAAAAAAAAAGAUAUUGGCACAUUUUUUUAUAAAGGAUAAUUUGAUAAACUUUACCAAGUCUUUCCUUUUUUCUCAAACUCCGUGCCUGAUCAAAUGGCAACACAUAAAAUGGGACGGAGGAAGUAUCAUUUUUCUUAUUUGAUAAUUAUUAUAUCAUUUUUUCUUAUUUAAUAACUAUUUAAUGACAUCAUCUUCAUUUUAUCUUUACUGGUUUCACUUAAUAAGAAAAAAUAAUUAAAAAGUAAAUAUUAAUGCGAUUUUAAGAGGGAUAAUUUUAUAAACUUUGUAAAGUCUCAUUUAUUUCUUAAACUCUGUGUUCAAUCAAAUAAGGACACAUAAAAUAGGACAGAGGGAAUAUGAUUUGCAUGGUCAAACACCUACUUAAUAUAAUAUUUCAAAAUUUUAAAUUUAAUUUUUUCUUCUGUGUUAAUUUACAUGACUCACUUUUUUUAAUCAAUCCCAAAAAAAAAAUAUUUUUACAUUUAAUAACAAUUAAACUUUAAAAUAUUCAAUUUAUUUUUAAUGAAGCCAUUUAUAAUUACAAUCAGCACCGUUGAAUAACUCACGGCAGGGCGACCUAGGUAACCGGAAGCGCCCGUAACCAAUACCAAUUUCUUGUUCAUUUUCUGUGGACUGCUUUUCUUGUUUUUUUAAGUCAACGAUUACAUACGUAUUAAUUAAGUAAUAUACUUAGCUUGAAUUAGUUGCCAUGAUUUGAUUAUAUUUAAGUAUUAAUCAUUUUAUCUUUAUAAAAUGAUAUUCUCUGUUCCUUUUUUUAGUUGUCAUAUUUUACUCUUCUAGAAUCAAUUUAAUUAAUUUUUAAAAUUAAAUUUAUUAUUGCUUAGAAAAAAAAUAUAGCAAUUUAUAAUAAAUUAAAAAAAAUAAAAAAGAUGAUAGAAGUAUAUAAAUUUUCUCAUAAUUUAUACAUAUAUUAAUUAUAUACAAUUACAAAUCAUGAAACUUAUCAUAAUAUAUUUUGUAAUGAUUAAUUUUCUAGAACUUAGUUGGGCCAAGCAUGUGACACUCCACAAAAGUCUUUAGAAUCAGUAUUCAUCCAGGGUGUCAUUUGUAUUGGCUUCGAGGAAAAUAUUCUUUUUUAUAUUUGGUAUAUAAAAAAACUGCAUCUGGUGAGAACUAAUUUCUUUACGUAAAUAAUUCAACACUCGAUCGAAUGUAUCAUACGAUCAAAUAUAUCAUGUAAUUUUUUAUAGCAUGCAUGUCACGAAUACUAUAUCAAAAUUAAAACGUAUAUUAUACAUAAAAUGUUUAAUUUUAUAAAAAAAGAAUAUAGACACACAUCAUGUAUUUUAUAUGUAAAUCGGCUCCUGGUGAUGCGAAAGUUAGAAUUACAAAAUUCUAAAAAAAAAAAAAAAAAAAAAAAAAAAAACUUUUUAAAGAAAUGACAGACUAAAAAUAAAGUAAAACGAACAAAUUGAAAAGAAGCCAAAUACCAAACACAUCCUAAAAGCUUAAAAAAAUUAGAGUUGGGCCAUUGAUAUUAGCCUAUUAGGCAUGAAUUAGAAGACCAAAAUGUAUCAUUACACAAGCAAUUUCUUGAAAAAACAAUAAUUUUACGGGAUACUUUUCACUUUCCACCAACACCAUAUAUUAGGUAGCAGAAUAUUAUUCUAGUUAUAUUUCAAGGAUUCAAUCUAACAACUCUAGGAGGAUGGAUUUCUAGAACUUCUUCAUCAAGGUAAUUUCUUGAUUUAUGAAAGGAGUAUUAUUGGUGUAUGCGUAAAAACACUAUUCAAUUUAUAUAUUGAGCUAUUUCUAGGAUAAGAGUUUUUUUUAUAAUUGUUAGUAUAUUUCAUUUAACACUGCCAACGCAGAUUAAUUCCACGGGAUAACUGUCAUGCCAUCUUCUACUAAUAACAUAUGAGGUAACUCAAAGAAACCACUAGGAUUUUCAUUUCUACUUGGAUUUGACCUGAGAUGUCAUGGUCCAUUUUGCACCAUUGUUAGGAUUGGUAAAGAAAACCUUUGGUGAAGUAGUUGAGUAAUGAUCGGACACGAAUUCAUAAUAAUCAGACAGUAAGUUCCAAAUACCAAAUGUUAAACAUGUAUAGUUGAGCCAAAGAUAAGUUUAUACGACCAUUUUAGUGUUCCAAACUGAACAAGAAGGCUUCAUUGCUUGACCUACGUAUAAUUAUACUUUAUAUUUUUCAGACUCUUCAAAAAUAUUGCCGCAUCUAUAUUGAAUUCUUCGGAAGUACACUAAUUUGAAGAAUCCAGCACACAACAGUUGACAUUUUUGAAGAGUUUGAACAAAAUAGAAUAUACUCUCACCCUCUUUUGAAAUUGUUUGCUGAACAAAAUAGAAUAUACUCUCACCCUCUUUUGAAAUUGUUUGCCCUUGUUACACACACCUAAAAGGGAUGAAAAGAACAUAAAUGUUUCAUCCUUAUCCAUGUUACUAGUUACGAGAAGUCUGUUCAAAGCACGAACCUAAUACCUAUCCUUAAUUAAUAUUAAAAAAAAAUUUACAAAAUGACAAUUUAAGAUAUCUAAAUUAUUAAAAAUUCCUUACUUAAUAAAAAUUAUAAAUAUCCCUUACUUACAUUCUCUCUCUUUAAAUCUCUUGAUACAUAUUCCCUCCAUCUCAAAUUACUCGUCCCAAAUUUUCUAAUUUGAUUUUUCAUUUACUUGUCUUUUUUCAUUAAUCAAGAAGAGAUAAAAAAAAAAUCAUGUGUUUACCCUUUGCAUUAAUUACUUUUUCUUCAAAUUAAAAUUUAAACAUCAUUUAAUAGGGGUACUAUGGUAAACUAGUCAUGUUAUUAAUUUUUUUUUUUAAUCAAUGUGUCAUCUCAAUUUGGAACGGGUAAUUUGGAACGGAGGGAGUAACUUCUACCCUAAAAAUUAGGAUAUAUUUAUUUCCCUCUUAAAAUUUCAUCUUAAUAUCUUCUCUUCAACUAUUUAAUACCAUUAAUGUCUAACCUUCUCCUCCUACAAAGUAUUUUUCAGAAAACUUUCGCCUCCUUAUCCUCCGCCGGAGUAUCCAUCGGAGAAACAAAAAAUGAUGGUGGUGUACGGUGUCUUCGAUCACCGUCAAUCCUUAAUCCACCAAACAACGAUUAAAUAGAUGGCUGAGGAUGAAACUCCAUGAACUCUGUUAACCCAUUCCGUUGAAGAAAAGAGAAUCUGACACUUUUAGACGAAAAUAUGUUGUUUUGAAAAGAAAAGUUGUUGAAGACAACGAGAGACAUCUUGCCAAAGGUUUAACAAUUUUUGUAUCUGAACAUUUUAAUUUGAG